ACAGCAGUCGCCGCGGUAAAACGAAGGGUGCGAGCGUUAAUCGGAAUUACUGGGCGUAAAGCGUGCGUAGGCGGUUUGUUAAGUCUGUUGUGAAAUCCCCGGGCUCAACCUGGGAAUGGCAAUGGAUACUGGCAAGCUAGAGUGUGUCAGAGGAUGGUGGAAUUCCCGGUGUAGCGGUGAAAUGCGUAGAGAUCGGGAGGAACAUCAGUGGCGAAGGCGGCCAUCUGGGACAACACUGACGCUGAGGCACGAGAGCGUGGGGAGCAAACAGGAUUAGAUACCCCUGUAGUCCCUGUCUCUUAUAC
rnacentral:rRNA from 1 species